AAGUAAAUAUGAUUAUUGCUCGUCGAGAAAUUUUUUGUUAGUUGAUAGGUCGCAAACAUUUCUAAAAAAAAAAACUGGCAGCUAACGAUUGAAAAAUAAGUGAUUUUUAGGCGCUUAGAGGCAGAUUUUUAUUUUCAUUUUAUUUUUAUUUUUGUUUUUUUAUUUUUUUUAUAAUUAAUGUUUUGGGUUUGUGUUUCGUCAGCUCUCUUCAAACAAUUUGCAAAUUUUCUACUUGGGAACAUGAGUAUAUUCUAGUUGACAACAGCUGCAACAACAACAACAACAAACAUAAUGACGACAGUGAAGCAAUUUGUUGGUUGUUGUUGUCGUUGUUGUUUUGGGAACAAUGAGUAUUCUACUUACAUACAUACUUACAUACAUACAUACAUACAUACAUAGACAUGCAUAUUACUUAAAGCCGUCAACCAAGUUGCUGCAAGUUUUUUGUUUAGCCAUUUAAGUAGUAUAUUUACAGAUGUCUAUGUUUUCUAGUUUUUUUAUUUAUAUAUAUAUAUAUAUAUACACAUAUUCACAUACGCUUAGGUCUUGAAUAACUUUUGUUAUUUAUUUACACUUCUCUUUGAUUUAACGGUGUAGGUUGAUGUUUAUUUGAGUUGAAUUUCUUAUACUCAUUUUUAAAUUUUAUUUCUCUUUCCUUUUUUGUUGGGUUUUCUAUUUGAAUUAAGUGCAAUGUCUAGCUAAUAGCUAAUUAGUUUUGUGUGGUAGCAGUUAAGCGCAGUAUUUAUGCACACGUGUACCUUACGACAAGUUCAAGUUAAACAUUUGAUUUCCGUACCGUUUGAUUUUUUUCCAGUCAGUGCCAUUUAUAUUUCGUUUGGUAGCAAUUGGCUAACAGCCGCACAUACAUACGUACAUAUAUAUUAAACAUUUUAUAGUAGUGUAUAGAUGGAGCCUUGAAUCGAGUUGGUGCUUAAACAUUUUUGUAGACAUAAGUUAGUUGAGGUUCUCAGGCAGCCGUCCAACAAUAUUUUGCACAACUAGUCAGCAAAAAGCGCGCAUCAAAUCACCAAGCAGACAGACAGACAGCUGGAGGAAUGCUAAAGAACUGUAAAAUCAAUCAUAAUAAUAAUCAUAAUAAACAUUUAUGUAUAGAUAUUCAGUAGGCUAGUUUGAGCUGAGCUGCCUUAAAGAUCACUUAUUUCGUCGACGUUAGGCCCAGUAGCAAAACAAUAAGUAAAACAACAUAAAUACGACUCAUUCCAAAGAAACAGAAUUUAAAUCUAAACAAAGCAAAGCAAACGAAAAG